CACGUAGGCACCAAGCGUUGUCCGGAUUUAUUGGGCGUAAAGAGCUCGUAGGCGGUUGAGUAAGUCGGGUGUGAAAACUCUGGGCUUAACCCAGAGCCGCCACUCGAUACUGCUCUGACUUGAGUUCGGUAGGGGAGCAGGGAAUUCCUAGUGUAGCGGUGAAAUGCGCAGAUAUCAGGAGGAACACCGGUGGCGAAGGCGGGUCUCUGGGCCGAUACUGACACUGAGGAGCGAAAGCGUGGGGAGCGAACAGG
rnacentral:rRNA from 1 species